ensembl:rRNA 5S_rRNA 5S ribosomal RNA
UGCCACAGCCAUAUCACCCUGCAGCCCAAGACUGGUUGCCCACUGAAGCUAAGCAGGGUUGAGCCUGGUCAGUACCUGGAUGGGAAACCUCCUGGGAAAACUAGGUUGCUGUUGGAA